UCAAUCUUGAUCCAGGUGAUGGACUGCGGCCUUCUAAGCCGUAGGUCACACGUUCGAAUCGUGUAGGGCGGGCCA
rnacentral:tRNA from 1 species